CUUCAUAGUUGGUGGGGAGGGGAAGUAUCAAGACAGGACAGCAGGGGAGGGGAGAGGGGGAGAGAGAGGAAAGGAAUCAGUAUCGCCAUUGUCGGGCCUUUCCGAACAAACUGGACACAACAGUGCGUUUUUUUUGUUUUUUUUACUUCUCAAAGUUGGGUCUUCCUUCUCCCUUCAGACAGAGAACGCAUGAAAGACACAAGGAAGAACUGUGGUGGGUUCGUAGUUUAAAGUUUAGAUACAUCUUUAUUGUUAGAAAACUCAGGAUGUCAAUCCCAUUCUUUCUUGACCACCCACACACACACACACACACACACACACACACACACACACACACACACACACA